rnacentral:rRNA from 1 species
AGAAUCAACGCUGGCGGCGUGCCUAACACAUGCAAGUCGCACGAGAAAGUGGAGCAAUCCAUGAGUAAAGUGGCGCACGGGUGAGUAACACGUGAAUUAUCUACCUCCGAGUGGGGAAUAACUGAGAGAAAUCUUAGCUAAUACCGCAUAACACUUACGAGUCAAAGCAGCAAUGCGCUUGGAGAGGAGUUCGCGGCCGAUUAGUUAGUUGGCGGGGUAAUUGCCCACCAAGACGAUGAUCGGUA